rnacentral:rRNA from 1 species
UACCUUCGGGUAAUGAGGAUGGCGGACGGGUGAGUAACGCGUAAGGAACUUGCCUCUUGGACUGGGACAACUGUUGGAAACGACAGCUAAUACCGGAUAUUGUGAGAUUCUCGCAUGAGAAACUUAUGAAAGCUAUAUGCGCCAAGAGAGAGCCUUGCGUUCCAUUAGCUAGUUGGUGGGGUAACGGCCCACCAAGGCGACGAUGGAUAGCCGGCCUGAGAGGGUGAACGGCCACAAGGGGACUGAGACACGGCCCUUACUCCUACGGGAGGCAGCAGUGGGGAAUAUUGGACAAUGGGCCACAAGCCUGAUCCAGCAAUUCUGUGUGCACGAUGAAGGUCUUCGGAUUGUAAAGUGCUUUCAGUUGGGAAGAAGAAAGUGACGGUACCAACAGAAGAAGCGACGGCUAAAUACGUGCCAGCAGCCGCGGUAAUACGUAUGUCGCAAGCGUUAUCCGGAUUUAUUGGGCGUAAAGCGCGUCUAGGCGGAAAAAUAAGUCUGAUGUUAAAAUGCGGGGCUCAACUCCGUAUUGCGUUGGAAACUGUUUUUCUAGAGUACUGGAGAGGUGGGCGGAACUACAAGUGUAGAGGUGAAAUUCGUAGAUAUUUGUAGGAAUGCCGAUGGAGAAGUCAGCUCACUGGACAGAUACUGACGCUGA